UACAGAGGGGGCAAGCGUUAUUCGGAAUUAUUGGGCGUAAAGGCGCGUAGGCGGCCUGGCAAGUGGAAGGUGAAAUCCCUCGGCUUAACCGAGGAACUGCCCUCCAAACUGCUAGACUUGAGUCCGGGAGAGGUGAGUGGAAUUCCCAGUGUAGCGGUGAAAUGCGUAGAUAUUGGGAGGAACACCAGUGGCGAAGGCGGCUCACUGGACCGGAACUGACGCUGAGGCGCGAAAGCGUGGGGAGCAAACGGG
rnacentral:rRNA from 1 species